rnacentral:misc_RNA from 1 species
GUAGGAGUGAGCCUGCUCGCGAUGACGCCGUGUCAGUCGACAUCAAUGUUGACUGACACGCCGUCAUCGCGAGCAGGCUCACUCCUAC